rnacentral:rRNA from 1 species
AUUGAACGCUGGCGGCAGGCUUAACACAUGCAAGUCGAGUGGAGAUGAGGUGCUUGCACCUUAUCUUAGCGGCGGACGGGUGAGUAAUGCUUAGGAAUCUGCCUAUUAGUGGGGGACAACAUUCCGAAAGGAAUGCUAAUACCGCAUACGUCCUACGGGAGAAAGCAGGGGAUCUUCGGACCUUGCGCUAAUAGAUGAGCCUAAGUCGGAUUAGCUAGUUGGUGGGGUAAAGGCCUACCAAGGCGACGAUCUGUAGCGGGUCUGAGAGGAUGAUCCGCCACACUGGGACUGAGACACGGCCCAGACUCCGACGGGAGGCAGCAGUGGGGAAUAUUGGACAAUGGGGGGAACCCUGAUCCAGCCAUGCCGCGUGUGUGAAGAAGGCCUUAUGGUUGUAAAGCACUUUAAGCGAGGAGGAGGCUACUGAGACUAAUACUCUUGGAUAGUGGACGUUACUCACAGAAUAAGCACCGGCUAACUCUGUGCCAGCCGCCGCCGUAA